UACAGAGACUGCAAGCGUUAUUCGGAUUCACUGGGCGUAAAGGGUGCGCAGGCGGUUGGGUGUGUCAGAUGUGAAAUCCCGAGGCUUAACCUCGGAACUGCGUCUGAAACUACUCGACUAGAGUAUUGGAGAGGGUAACGGAAUUCACGGUGUAGCAGUGAAAUGCGUAGAUAUCGUGAGGAACACCAGAGGCGAAGGCGGUUACCUGGACCAGCACUGACACUGAGGCACGAAAGCGUGGGGAGCAAACAGG
rnacentral:rRNA from 1 species